GGGCUUGUAACUCAGGGGUAGAGUGCAUGUUUGAUAAGUAUGUUGUCGAAAGUUCAAAUCUUUCCAAGCCUA
rnacentral:tRNA from 1 species